GUCAACCAAAGUUUGUCUGGUCUGCAGAUGUUCAUUCAGCAGCGUCUCUCACAGUGAGUCCUGACAGAGUGCAACACUUCACCUCUGACUCUGUCUCACUGACCUGUGAGGGAAACUUCACUGAGUGGAGAGUGAGGAAGUUUAGUGAAAAAAGCUUUUUGUCACACUGCUGUGACUGCCAGAAACUGAGUGGAUCCUCUUAUAAGAUCCACAGCUUACAGGAGGGUGUUACUGUGUACUGGUGUGAGUCUGGAUCAGGAGAGCUCAGCAAUGCAGUCAACAUCACUGUACGAGGCUCUGGAUCUAAAAUCGGUUCAUUUAUUGUUCCAUUCAUCAUCGGACUUGUUAGUGGAAUUAUCCUCGUGCUGCUGCUGCUGUGCUGCUGCAGAAAGAUAAAGGAUCUUUGUUGUAACAGUCUCACUCAGUCUCAGAGCACCAAUCAAAACUCUGCUGCACAACAAAAAGUCAACAAGAAUGAGAACAACGUUUACUCCUCUCUUCUUCCUGGUGAUUUUCCAGUUUAUGAAACAAUCAGACUCUGUGGAAACGCUGGCAGUGGUACAGCAUAACUUCUG